rnacentral:rRNA from 1 species
UACGUAGGGUGCAAGCGUUGUCCGGAAUUAUUGGGCGUAAAGAGCUCGUAGGCGGUCUGUUACGUCGGCUGUGAAAACCUGGGGCUCAACCCCGGGCCUGCAGCCGAUACGGGCAGACUAGAAUUCGGUAGGGGAGACUAGGAAUUCCUGGUGUAGCGGUGAAAUGCGCAGAUAUCAGGAGGAACACCGGUGGCGAAGGCGGGUCUCUGGGCCGAUACUGACGCUGAGGAGCGAAAGCGUGGGGAGCGAACAGG